rnacentral:rRNA from 1 species
AUUGAACGCUGGCGGCAGGCCUAACACAUGCAAGUCGAGCGAGCGGCGGACGGGUGAGUAAUGUAUGGGGACUGCCCGAUCGAGGGGUCUAACUACUGGCAACGGUGGCUACUCCCGCAUACUAUCGUAUCACCCAUAUGGGAUUAGCUAGUAGGUGGGGGAAAGGCUCACCUAGGCGACGAGCGCUAGCUGGUCUGAGAGGAUGAUCGGCCACACUGGGACUGAGACACGGCCGAGACUCAUACGGAGGAAGAAGUGGGGAAUAUUGCACAAUGGGCGCAAGCCUGAUGCAGCCAUGCCGCGUGUAUGAAGAAGGCCUUAGGGUUGGAAAGUACUUUCAGCGGGGAGGCGUUACCCGCAGAAGAAGCACCGGCUAACUCCGUGCCAGCAGCCGCGGUAAUAC